rnacentral:rRNA from 1 species
GACGAACGCUGGCGGCGUGCUUAACACAUGCAAGUCGAACGGAAAGGCCCUGCUUUUGUGGGGUUCUCGAGUGGCGAACGGGUGGGUAACACGUGAGUAACCUGCCCUUGACUUUGUGAUAACUUCAGGAAACUGGGGCUAAUAUCGGAUAGGAGCUCCUGCUGCAUGGUGGGGGUUGGAAAGUUUCGGCGGUUGGGGAUGGACUCGCGGCUUAUCAGCUUGUUGGUGGGGUAGUGGUAGACCAAGGCUUUGAGGGGUAGCCGGCCUGGGAGGGGAGACGGCGACCAGGGUCCUAAGGGAGGCCGCAGACGGCAAUGGUCGGCAGUGGGCGGAAACAUGACGGAGCGGGGCCACGUGGGUGACGGAGGUCUCCGGGGCGGAAAGCCGGCUUUCGGGGUAUAAACCGCUUUCGCCGGUGACGAAGAGGGAGUGACGGUAAUGGGUCAAGAAGCACCGGCUAACUACGUG